rnacentral:rRNA from 1 species
UGCUCCUACGGGGCGCAGCAGUGAGGAAUAUUGGUCAAUGGGCGGGAGCCUGAACCAGCCAAGUCGCGUGAGGAAAGACGGUCCUAUGGAUUGUAAACCUCUUUAGGCGGGGAGCAAUGCCGGGCACGCGUGCCCGGAGGGAGAGUACCCGCAGAAUAAGCAUCGGCUAACUCCGUGCCAGCAGCCGCGGUAAUACGGAGGAUGCGAGCGUUAUCCGGAUUUAUUGGGUUUAAAGGGUGCGUAGGCCGCAUGUCAAGCGUGCUGUGAAAUGUCCGGGCUCAACCCGGGCCUUGCAGCGCGAACUG